rnacentral:piRNA from 1 species
UCUCCCUCUGAAAACUGUGUCAUCCUUCAA